GGAUCAGUGGUCUAGUGGUAGAAUAGAACCUUCUGACGGUAUAGACCCGGGUUCGAUUGCCUGAUGGUGCA